GGUUGACAUCAACAGCAGCACUGAGCAUGCGUUUCAUGACAGGCUCGGCAAGUUCGGAUGUUAUACUUGGGGUGGGUGGCAUGCUUUUGUUCCCCCUAGAGGUUUAGGUUCAGACUUUUUCUCCUGCAUAUUAAUAUGGAAGGAAGGUACGUUGUAUGGUAGGAAAGAAAAUUUUCCAAAAAGUGUGUUCGCAGUGGUGCUUUGGGCCACUCAGGCCCUUUGAAGAUUUUCACAUUUUGAUGCUGUAUUCUUUUUCAUUUUUAAGCUUAAUUUGUCUGCUUCACCCCUUUUGGAGAAGA
rnacentral:lncRNA from 1 species